GACGAACGCUGGCGGCGUGCUUAACACAUGCAAGUCGAACGCUGAGGCUCAGCUUUUGUUGGGUGGAUGAGUGGCGAACGGGUGAGUAACACGUGAGUAACCUGCCCCCUUCUUUGGGAUAACGCCCGGAAGCGGGUGCUAAUACUGGAUAUUCACUGGUCUUCGCAUGGGGGUUGGUGGAAAGGGUUUUUCUGGUGGGGGAUGGGCUCGCGGCCUAUCAGCUUGUUGGUGGGGUGAUGGCCUACCAAGGCUUUGACGGGUAGCCGGCCUGAGAGGGUGACCGGUCACAUUGGGACUGAGAUACGGCCCAGACUCCUACGGGAGGCAGCAGUGGGGAAUAUUGCACAAUGGGCGCAAGCCUGAUGCAGCGACGCCGCGUGAGGGAUGGAGGCCUUCGGGUUGUGAACCUCUUUCGCUCAUGGUCAAGCCGCAACAAUGGUUGUGGUGAGGGUAGUGGGUAAAGAAGCGCCGGCUAACUACGUG
rnacentral:rRNA from 1 species